AAGAUGCACAGGAAUCUGGGAGGCUGAAGAGCUGAUCUCCUCACACAAGCCAAGGAAUUUUGGACAUAACAAAGGAAGCAGCCUUCGCUUCUUCUCUCCUACCCCCACACUCUCUUGAGUCUAUCAUGGCUGUCACCUAACAUCAGCAGGAGCAAUGGCUGAUACUUUUUGUGCCUAGCAUCCUGGACUCAAUGAGCGAAUCACAGAAGGAGCACACCCAUCAAGGAAACCUUGGGGUCACCAGGGCAUGAAGGAGAAGGAGGGCCGUGGGCCAGAGGAAGCCUUGAGAAUCCGAUCACCGAGUCUAAUCUGAAGAGCGGAAAUCACAUUCUGUGUUUUAACUGCUUUCCUUGAAGGUUCUGGCCAAAUGAUCGCAAAUUCAGAAUGACCCGUGACCCUAAUAUCUUAUAAGACGCCUUACUGCUGAAGUUUCUUCCAAGUUUGCCAACUUGAGAUCACCAUCAAGGCUGAAACAAAAGACAAGCGUUGUCUCUGCUGGCUUGCAAAAACUUCGAAGAAUUCACAGUAAGAUGUGCCAGUUGCUGCAUUCUUCAAAUAUGUCACUUUCCGCCCACACGUUUCCCUGCUGACAAGUACUGACCACCGUGGAUGGUAAAGGCACAGCAACCUACAUUUUCAUUCAAACAAGAGGAAAGAUAUUGCCGUGCAAAGUUUCAGACGAGAUGCAGACCCCAUGCCUGCCUUCAGGUACAAAUAAUGCCUCAAAACGAAACAGUUCCUGUUUACUGAGAAGAAUGUGACAUAGGUUUUAGCUCAGCUGUGAUUCUGACACCCUGGAAAGAAGCCAGGGAAGGCUGAUGACAAGCAGACGGCUGCUUGAUGGUAUCAGCACCUUCCAAUCUGUUUUUGCAUACCACAACACAUCUGACAUACUUGUGUGGAUGGAGUUUAGAGCGUAGUGUCGACUAAUGAAAUGGGCAAUAGCUGGCUUUUAAGAAGAGCAACAAACUGGUUCCCUGAGCACUGAAAGAAAAUCAGUUCGGUCUAAGAAAGAAAACACUGAAUUGCUGCUGUUGUAAAAUAAGAAGCCCUGUGUGUGUUUUCAACAAAGAGCAAGCCCCUUUGCUUGUUUUCUUGUUCCUCCAAUGUGCCAAUUACAGAAAAAAAGUAAAAGUUGGGGGCACAAAGGACAGAGAAGACAAGCACAUAAAAAUUGUGUUUUGUCAGCAUCUAUCUACUUUACGACUGCUUUUCCACCUGGGGGCAAACUCUGGGCAUAAGUCACACUCAGCAAGAGCUUGGGACAACAGGGCUGACUGAAAAAACACAAUCCCCUUCCCCCUUAGAAACUUUAGUCACAUCCCCCAUCCCCAACUUCUUCCACUUCACUCUGCCGGUCUCUGCCCAGCUGCAUACUUCUAAAACUCUUAAUCCUUUGCCUGAGAUUGCAGCUCUGUGCCUCUCUGGUAAAUAUCCUCCAUAAAGUUUCAACCCAACAGUGUGGCUAUCAUUUCAUUAACAUUCUAAAUGAAGCUUGAUUUCACCCCCCUCGAUAUCACCCCACCUCCAGUGAGACUCCUAACAGGUGGAGAGUGAGAGCUGAACCUGCUUCCUUUAAGCUAUGAUGAGAAAAUAACGAACACUGGCAGCAACUGCAAUAACAAGACGAGUUCAAUCUUCUCCUCUGGGAAAAAGAGAAGCAGUUAUCCUGGUUGUGUAAGUUUUGCUCCCACAGAGCAGGUCGUCGGGAAGAUGCACCUCAUGUUACUCCCAUGGCGCAUUGACUUAUUUCUCAUAGUUUCUGAUCAUUUGCUUUGUCUUCUAAAAUAAGACAAAUGUUGAAAAAUGAGACAAUGCUCAGCAUAAUUCUCCAGGGUCAGUGGUGACAUUUUGAAACAGCAUGUUUUGUCUGGCUGACAGCUUAAAACCCAAAUAUUUCUUUUGCAAUGUUUUGGAUAGCAGUGAAGCAGUAGUCAGCUAAAUACAGCAUGUAUUUGCAGUACAUUGCAAAAGUAUUCAUGUCCCAUUUACUUUCACUUUUUGACAGACAGAAACUUCUGCAUAUUAAUGUAUAUUUUGUGAAAUUGUUUUCAAAAGUAUUUUUUUGUUUGUUUUACAAAUAAAGAUAUGAAAAGUGUCGCAUGAA